rnacentral:rRNA from 1 species
UACGUAGGGUGCAAGCGUUGUCCGGAAUUAUUGGGCGUAAAGAGCUCGUAGGCGGUUUGUCGCGUCGAGUGUGAAAAUCCGAGGCUUAACCUCGGACCUGCAGUCGAUACGGGCAGACUAGAGUUCGGUAGGGGAGACUGGAAUUCCUGGUGUAGCGGUGAAAUGCGCAGAUAUCAGGAGGAACACCGGUGGCGAAGGCGGGUCUCUGGGCCGAUACUGACGCUGAGGAGCGAAAGCGUGGGGAGCGAACAGG